ensembl:lncRNA
AGGAAGUGUAUGGAAGAAACAGGAAGACCGUGGCCUGAAUGUGUAGGCCUGGUAAAAAUGUGGAUGAGAUUAACACAAGGAUCUCAGAAGCUCACACCGCUUGAGAUCAUACAUGGUAGACCAUUUCCACUACCUAUAACGAGUGAACCUUUAACUAAAUCUUCUAGAGAAACCACAUUAGCAGAAUGGAUGGCUAAACUGCUAGAAAACAAAGAAAUCGUUCUGAAUAAUAAACUGCCAGAGGACUUUUCUCCAGUGUCUUGCAGGACCAUACCAAGUGCUUUUAACCACGCCUACUGCAUGCAAGAUUUCUGAAAGACCAUCCUGGAUCCACCAAAGUCACUGUAAGAAAGUAAGUGAGAGCAUAGACUAACUAGACGCCGACGCCCCUGCCCUUUGGUGAUCCGAAAGGUGGAGGAAGGGCUGAUCGGGUACAUCCUGCCCUUUGCUUCUUGCCUUUGGUCUACUUAUCAGAGGGGUCAGGUGCGCCAGGUCACCAUGAAGCUGCUCCUGAUCUCACUGACCCUGGCAGUACUGGCAGCAGGAUGCUUCCUACUAUUCAAUAUGGACCAAAAGCAUCACCAGAAGAAAGCUUGGACGCAUGAUAACUCACACCACUACACAAUGACAUUUCCAAUGGCACCUAUUGGGUGCAGGGAAUGGCCUGGCUAUGUGUACAGCGGGCCUAUUUCACUCUCCCUAAGAAUUGGACGGGUAUGUGUGCUCCAAUCUUCAUAUCCGAUCACACAUUCAAGAUAAACACCGACAACCAAUCAUACGCAAGAAGGAAAAGGUCAACCAGCUUAUCAGCUCCAACAGCACAUGACCUAAUAUGGGGCUUUGACGUCCCACAGGAAUUCAAGCUUUGGACUACAGGACAGAAAGUGCUGCACUCACUCUUUCCGUGGGUGGGCACAGGAAAAAAUGUGCUGAGGUGGCUUUUAAGUGGCUCGUGGACUGUUUUGCUGUAUAAAGGUCUAAUAUUCAUAGGACUCUUACUUGUAUUAUUCUGUGUAUUCUCCACAUGUAUUCUCCCUUGUCUCAGGAAGAUGAUUUCUAAAAUGAUUUCCACAUCAUUGACAGCUUAUGUUACUGUACCAAUGGAUGACAAAAAUGAUCUGAGUAACAGUGAAGAUAACUUUGAGACGAAGAUGUUUAUGUGUGAGAAGAAAAUCUUACAGACGACCUGUAAAGCUAGAUUGCAAUAUAAGUAACACAUAAUGAUGACAUGUUUGAAAAUGCUAGGAGCAAGAGAACAUGUUCUGAAACAAAGUGUGAAACGUGUUUAAAUGAGCUAAAACAGGAGGGAAUGUUAAAGGAUUUUUAUAUGUAUUCUGCUUUAUUGUAGUUAAAAA